CCUCUCUCUCUCUCUCAUUUUCUAGGGUUUGGUUUCCGAUUCACACAGAGUAUACCUUAUCUUUCAGUUUUUGGAUCCGAUCUCUCGUUUUGGAUACCGCAUCAUUUUGAAAGAGGGGUUUAUAGAAAUCAUCAUCAACUAGAUAGAUUCUGGAACAAUGAAGAAGAAGAAAAAAAGGAAGAAAAAGAUAGGUUAUAAGGAGGAAGGGGAUGGAGGAUUUGUUUCAGUACACAAAUCGAAUAAUAAACGGCUAAAGUAGCAACUUAGCUGGUGAGAAGCAUAAAGUAAUGAUUUAGCACAUUUGCAAUUCCAGAAACAAAGCAAAACAAGCAAAUCCACGUAAUAGCAAUCUUGCAAGACACAAUGAUUUUUCCUCUCAUAUUAUUGUGUAUUUUUUCCAGUUAUGAAUUGAAUUCAAUAUUUGAAUGCCUAAA